rnacentral:rRNA from 1 species
GACGAACGCUGGCGGCGUGCUUAACACAUGCAAGUCGAGCGGUAAGGCCCUUUCGGGGGUACACGAGCGGCGAACGGGUGAGUAACACGUGGGUGACCUGCCCUCAGCUCUGGGAUAAGCCUGGGAAACUGGGUCUAAUACUGGAUAUGACUCCACGGUGCAUGUCGUGGGGUGGAAAGCCUUGUGCGGCUGAGGAUGGGCCCGCGGCCUAUCAGCUUGUUGGUGGGGUGANGGCCUACCAAGGCGACGACGGGUAGCCGGCCUGAGAGGGCGACCGGCCACACUGGGACUGAGACACGGCCCAGACUCCUACGGGAGGCAGCAGUGGGGAAUCUUGCGCAAUGGGCGAAAGCCUGACGCAGCCGACGCCGCGUG